CAAGGUCUGUAGAUUAAUAGACGGCUGGGAUAAGGUCGUCGCAUGACUCAGUGCGCAUGCGCGGUCAGCCAUGUUUGAUGCUAUUCCCCACUCCUAAUGUUCACCACACAAUGUAAACAAACAGUGUAUGGCAUGUCAAAAAAAUUUCAACAUCAAAAUUUAAUCAUUUAUUUAUUGAAUAAAUAUUGUACGUCAACGUUGUGCGAUCGGUUGCUUCCCCCAGAGAUUCAGAUCAUCGUCGAAAAUGAUCUACUGGUGCUGGUGUGAGCCAAAUAAAACCAAGCUCAACGUUAUGUGAGAUAUAUUUAUAAAGAUCCAACAUAAUGAAUCUCAAUAUGAACAACAUCGUCAGGAUGGCUCAAAAAAAAUUAAAACCAAAUGCAGUACCAACUUUGUUUGGUGAUGUUUUGAUAGUUUUUUUAAGUAAAAUUCACCAAAAUACAAGUGACAACAUGAUGUUAAUUAGAGUUCAUGUGAAUCACUAAAGCAGUUGUCAACAACAAACUUAGGUGAAUCUUUUUCCAGACCAUUGCUUGAUGUAAUCAUAGAUAAAUAUACCACUGACAACAAAAAGAGUUUAUUCAAGUUACCAAAGUCUAAUAAUACCAAUAAAUGUUUACCAAGUGAUGAGCAGCAGAUUGAAUUGCCACUAGUAAACUUGGAUAAGGAUCAUAUAGUAUCAAUUCUUGCUGAUGAAUUACAAGCAGAAAUAAUAAAAAAAUAUAAUGAAGGAGUUAUCAAAUUUAAUUUCAUGCUUCAAAAUCAACAUUGUCUUUAUCACCACGAAAUUUCGAGUUUAAACUAGGAAGUAGAAAGCUUAAAAAAAAUAAAUAUUAGUUUAGACUGCGAAUUACGAGUUGAAUAAGAAAAAUGGAUACUGUCAGAAAGACAACGAGAAAAAAUUAAAAACAAGUUUAACAAGCUUCUUAAUGUAUUCGGAAAAUUGUCCAUUUUUAAAAAACCUUUUAAUUGAGUUAUUUUAUUCACUUAUUUAUAGUAUGCGACAGGCAAAAGCCUACUAAAGCCAAAAAAAUAUAUUUUGUUGUCAGAUAAAGAA